rnacentral:rRNA from 1 species
AGUGAACGCUGGCGGUAGGCCUAACACAUGCAAGUCGAACGGCAGCACAGUAAGAGCUUGCUCUUACGGGUGGCGAGUGGCGGACGGGUGAGGAAUACAUCGGAAUCUACUUUUUCGUGGGGGAUAACGUAGGGAAACUUACGCUAAUACCGCAUACGACCUACGGGUGAAAGCAGGGGAUCUUCGGACCUUGCGCGAUUGAAUGAGCCGAUGUCGGAUUAGCUAGUUGGCGGGGUAAAGGCCCACCAAGGCGACGAUCUGUAGCUGGUCUGAGAGGAUGAUCAGCCACACUGGAACUGAGACACGGUCCAGACUCCUACGGGAGGCAGCAGUGGGGAAUAUUGGACAAUGGGCGCAAGCCUGAUCCAGCCAUACCGCGUGGGUGAAGAAGGCCUUCGGGUUGUAAAGCCCUUUUGUCGGGAAAGAAAAGCAGCAGGUUAAUACCCCGCUGUUCUGACGGUACCCAAAGAAUAAGCACCGGCUAACUUCGUG